GUUUCUGAAGGGUAGGGAACCCAGGACCUUCACGUUGAACAAAGGAGAGAGAGAGGAGCCCCUUUCCCUCCAGUUUGUUUACCAAUGAACGAACGCGUGUCUACAGCAGAGUGGGGGGAAAAUAAAGGAAGCCAACGCGUAAAUAGAAGCAAAGUCAAAUUCAAAUUAAAAGAGCCACAGACGGCCAAGAAAUUUGCAGCGCAUUCGCCAUUGUACCCAUAUCCCUGAAGACAA